rnacentral:sRNA from 1 species
GAUACACACUAGGCAUGUCCAGACAUUAACUGUAAUCAGAAGCCUCCUAGGGUUGCAAGCCUCCUUUGCUAAUGGUUGGGCUUUGUGUCUCACUCCUCUCUUACACCUGGGGAGUCAAGUCUGGAUCCUCUGCUCCAUAUUUAUUUAGCAAAUAAAACACUGAUCUCAAACAGCAACAGAACCUGUGUACUUGAGGUGUUUUUUGAAAACUAAUCAGAAGAGGAAUGCUUAUCUCCCAAGAAAAUUGAAACCAUCUGUAAAAGAAUCUUGGCUGUGCUGUGUUUUGAUUAGAUUGAAGCUCGGUGUAAAGAGAAAACACAGAAGACCGCAGAAUAUUUACAACAUUUGAAUUCCUGUUUCUCCAUCAAAGCACAUUGUCAUCAAAGCUACUUUGGGGGUAGAAAAAAGGCCAAUUCCAAUUCCCAGGAAUCCCUAACAACAACUUUGCUUGGAAAUUUCCAGCAAUACUUAAAACACCAUUUUGCAGCAAUUCUUUACGAUAAACUGUAAAAUACAGUUACACGAAAAUGACUGACAAAUCAAUCAUCAUUCUGAGCCUGAUGGUUUUUCACAGCUCUUUCAUAAAUGGAAAAACAUGUAGACGGCAAUCGGUGGAAGAAUGGCAUCCACAACCCUCAUCAUAUGUGGUAAAUUGGACACUAACAGAAAACAUCUGCUUGGACUUCUACAGAGAUUGCUGGUUUUUGGGUGUAAACACUAAAAUAGAUACUUCAGGCAAUCAAGCUGUUCCCCAGAUUUGCCCUUUGCAAAUUCAAUUAGGAGACAUCCUUGUAAUUUCUUCUGAACCAUCUCUUCAAUUUCCAGAAAUAAAUUUGAUGAAUGUUUCUGAAACAUCUUUCAUUGGCUGUGUGCAAAAUACCACAACGGAAGAUCAGUUACUUUUUGGUUGCAGACUAAAAGGAAUGCACACUGUUAAUUCUAAGUGGCUGAGUGUUGGGACACAUUAUUUUAUCACAGUUAUGGCAAGUGGUCCAUCACCUUGUCCACUGGGACUUCGACUAAAUGUGACAGUGAAACAGCAGUUCUGCCAGGAAUCUCUGAGUUCAGAAUUUUGCUCUGGUCAUGGUAAAUGUCUUAGUGAAGCUUGGAGCAAGACAUAUAGCUGCCAUUGCCACCCUCCAUUUUCUGGAAAAUACUGCCAGGAACUUGAUGCAUGUUCUUUUAAACCAUGUAAAAAUAAUGGCAGUUGCAUUAAUAAAAGAGAAAAUUGGGAUGGGCAAGGAUAUGAAUGUGUCUGUCACCCACCAUUUACAGGAAAGAAUUGCUCAGAAAUAAUUGGCCAAUGUCAACCACAUGUCUGUUUCCAUGGAAACUGCAGCAACAUUACUUCAAAUAGUUUCAUUUGUGAAUGUGAUGAGCAAUUUUCAGGUAAAAAAAUGCAUAUAUAUACAUACAUAUACACAAAUAACUUUAAUUUUGUCUAUGUAUUUCAAAUUAAAUGGGAAAUAUUUCCUAUAUUAUUGAAAAAUACAAUUUUAGAAGUUAUAUAUACUGAACUCUUUUAUGGUAAAGUUUAAUAAAUCAAUUUGGUUAAUACAAUUAAAUCAUACUAGUGCUAAAUGUUUUAUAGCAUAAGAAGAGUCUGAACAACAGUUCACAUGCUUUUCACCAUAAAAUUACUUACAUCUUUCUUCAGACUUGCAUUUAUGACCAGUGAAUUUGAAAUUGUUCAUGUCUUUGACACUUCUUAACCACUAAAUUUUAAAUUAUGGACAUUUUCACUGAACACAUGUUGAGGUUUCUGUUAAUUUCUUUAAAAAAAGUCUGCUAAAGGAAGAUAUUAUUAAAUCUUUUUUUGAUAUAAAAUAUGCAGAUAAAAUAUAUAUUUUUAAAUUACACUUUAAGUUCUGGGUUACAUGUGAAGGAUGGGCAAUUUUGUUACAUAGUUAUGCCAUGUGCCGUGGUGGUUUGCUCACCCAUCAACCCGUCACCUAUAUUAGGUAUUUCUCCUAAUGCUAUCCCUCCCCUAGCCCCCCACCCCCAACAGGCCCCAAUGUGUGAUGUUCCCCUCCCUGUGUCCAUGUGUUCUCAUUGUUCAACUCCCACUAAUGACUGAGAACUUCCAGCGUCUGGUUUACUGAUCUUGCGAUAGUUUGCUGAGAAUGAUGGUUUCCAGCUUCAUCCAUGUCCCUACAAAGGACAUGAAAUCAUCCUUUUUUUUUUUAUGGCUGCAUAGCAUUCCAUGGUGUAUAUGUGCCACAUUUUCUUUAUCCAGUCUAUCAUUGAUGGACAUUUGGGUUGGUUCCAAGUCUUUGCUAUUGUGAAUUGUGCUGCAAUAAACAUACGUGUGCAUGUGUCUUUAUCAUAGAAUGAUUAUAAUCCUUUGGGUAUAUGCCCAGCAAUGGGAUUGCUGGGUCAAAUGGUAUUUCUAGUUCUAGAUCCUUGAGGAAUCACCACACUGUAUUCCACAAUGGUUAAACGAAUUUAUACUCCCACCAACAACGUAAAAGCAUUCCUAUUUUUCCACAACCUCUCUAGCAUCUGUUGUUUCCUGACUUUUUAAUGAUCACCAUUCUAAAUGGCGUAAGAUGGUAUCUCAUUGUGGCUUUGAUUUGCAUUUCUCUAAUGACCAGUGAUGAUGAGCAUUUUUUCAUAUAUCU